rnacentral:tRNA from 2 species
GGGUGUAAAUUGGGUGUAGAGUUUUACACAAAGCUCAAAAGUAUUGAAAAAUCAAGCUACUAUUCACCUUCCCAAGGUGAACGUCGUGGGUUCGAGUCCCAUCGCCCGCU